rnacentral:lncRNA from 1 species
GGUUCAGGGACAAGCAGAGAGCCCAGCACAGCGACUCCCAAAGAAUCAGCAUGCUUCUCCGGGAAAGACACCAGAAGUUUUCCAGGGUAGGGUCCAGCUUUUCUUCUUAAUCUCUUCUCCAGAUAUCUACCCCACGCUUGGUGUUAAAUAAAUAUUAAUUGGAAAUGCUGACCACAAGGUAGCAGAAAUGGAAGAGAGGAGAGAAAUAUGUCAGCUCGCUGCGGGCCUCACAGCCAAGAGAAGUUUCCAGGCCUCUCUCUGCCACGAUCCCUUCUCUGAUUCGCCUCCAGUGAUGCCCUCUCUACUCUGCCCAUUCGUCGUCCAUCAGCACCCUUCCUUUCCCACCCCAAGGUGCUGAGAACCUCCAGGGGCCCCAGAGAAGCCAGAGAGAACUCAACACCAGUCCCUCUAGCCAAACAAUCAGCAAACGAAGAUAACUUUAAAGAGUGUCAAGCCCAACUUUAUGACUCCCUCAUAGGCACCAAGGGCAUUGUCUCAAGAGCCUAAGCCACCAGACAGGAUAACCCAGGACUGCUUGUCGGUUGACCUGCUAAGACCAACUAUGACUCAUCUGUUUACUGCAGAACGGAGGUAAUGUGGGAUGCAAAGGUUGACAGCCACCUCCCGGGAGACCGUCGGACCUGGAAAUCAGGGCCCUGGGUUUCAACCGGAAAUGUUUACACUGGCACAGACCCAAGAUGGAUGGAGGGCCACGUCACGGAGAGCUGAGUGAGCACAUGCACACAUUUUAAGGGACCGGGGUCUUCACAGCUGACCGGCUGGUCACUCUCACCGCUGCACUGAGCAGCCUGGAGGCUAGCGGUCAUCACUUACAUGUGCUCUGCUACUUACACUUGGAUUUAUAACCACACUUUCCCACGACCGCAUUUUCUUUCUUGGCAGAAGAUUAAGGGCAGCAAUAAUAAACACGUAAUAAUAGUGAUAUUGGUCUCA